rfam:Brachypodium distachyon strain Bd21 chromosome 3, whole genome shotgun sequence.
UUGGUACUCCCUCCGUCCCAUAUUAAGUGAUUCAAAUUUGCCUAAAUAUGGAUGUAUCUAUACUCAAAAAAAUGUCUAGAUAUAUGUUAUAUUUCGUCACUUAAUAUGGGACGGAGGGAGUAUAUC